rnacentral:rRNA from 1 species
UACGGAGGGUGCGAGCGUUAUUCGGAAUUACUGGGCGUAAAGCGUGCGUAGACGGUUAUUUAAGUCGGGUGUGAAAGCCCCGGGCUCAACCUGGGAAUUGCAUUCGAGACUGAAUAGCUAGGGUACGGUAGAGGGAAGCGGAAUUUCCGGUGUAGCGGUGAAAUGCGUAGAUAUCGGAAGGAACAUCAGUGGCGAAAGCGGCUUCCUGGACCAGUACCGACGUUCAGGCACGAAAGCGUGGGGAGCAAACAGG